rnacentral:rRNA from 1 species
AUACGGAGGGUGCAAGCGUUGUUCGGAAUUAUUGGGCGUAAAGCGCGUGUAGGCGGUUGGUUAAGUCUGAUGUGAAAGCCCUGGGCUCAACCCGGGAAGUGCAUUGGAAACUGGGAGACUUGAGUACGGGAGAGGGUAGUGGAAUUCCUAGUGUAGGAGUGAAAUCCGUAGAUAUUAGGAGGAACACCGGUGGCGAAGGCGGCUACCUGGACCGAUACUGACGCUGAGACGCGAAAGCGUGGGGAGC